rnacentral:rRNA from 1 species
UACGUAGGUGGCAAGCGUUGUCCGGAUUUACUGGGCGUAAAGAGCGCGCAGGCGGUCGUAUAAGUCGAAUGUGAAAGCCCCCGGCUCAACUGGGGAGGGUCAUUCGAUACUGUUCGACUCGAAGGCAGGAGAGGGAAGUGGAAUUCCGGGUGUAGUGGUGAAAUGCGUAGAUAUCCGGAGGAACACCGGUGGCGAAGGCGGGAUCCUGGGCCAGUACUGACGCUGAGGAGCGAAAGCGUGGGGAGCAAACAGG